rnacentral:rRNA from 1 species
GCNNGGNGNNGANNCUAAUAUGUCUGNUAUUUGUGUCACCGAGGAUGACCCGCACCGUCCGUUCCUUAGGUGGAGCGGUAUCAUUGGCCGUAGUUUGCAAGGACGUAUGAAUGGAACGUAUUGCCCUUGCUGAAUCUUUCAGCAACCAGUCGUCCACGGCCUCGGACUUCACUGAUCUUUUCACUUAUCCUUCCUGUGGACUCCUUCAGUUUGUGGUUUCGGUUUUAGCCUAAAAAAAUUCAAUAUAAUAUAAAAAAUUAAUUAUUAAAAAUUUUGGUUGGGGCGACUAAAGAACAAAUAAAGCUUCCUUUAUUUUAAUAAUACAACCAAGUAAGGAUCCAAAAACUUUGAUUAAAGGAAUUAGUUACCGUAGGGAUAACAGCAUUAUCUUUUUUGAGAGCUCUAAUCGAAAAAAAGGUUUGUGACCUCGAUGUUGGACCAGAAUAUCCUAAAGAUGCAGCCGUCUUUAAGGGUUGGUCUGUUCGACCAUUAAAAUUCUACGUGAUCUGAGUUCAGACCGGCGUGAGCCAGGUCAGUUUCUAUCUUCAAUUUUUAAAAUAAGUUUAGUACGAAAGGACCAAUUUAUUACAAAAUGUUUGUUUUAUUCAGAUGAAAUAUAAAGAAAAAUUAAAUAGAUUAUAAAUAUAAUCAAAUUAGCAAAGAUAAUGCAAUUGACUUAGGAUCAAUAGACAUAGGUGAAACUCCUUUAUUUGAUAGAAUAUAAAGAUGGCAGACUAAGUGCAUUAGGUUUAGCCCCUAAAAUAA